rnacentral:rRNA from 1 species
GUUAGGAAUAUUGGACAAUGGGCGAAAGCCUGAUCCAGCCAUGCCGCGUGAACGAUGAAGGCCUUCGGGUUGUAAAGUUCUUUAGCCGAUGAUUAUAAUGACUGUAGUCGGAAAAUAAGCCCCGGCUAACUUCGUGCCAGCAGCCGCGGUAAUACGAAGGGGGCGAGCGUUAUUCGGAAUCACUGGGCGUAAAGCGUGCGUAGGCGGUUUUGUAAGUUAGGAGUGAAAGCCCAGGGCUCAACCCUGGAAUUGCUCUUAAAACUGCAAGGCUCGAAUCUCGGAGAGGAUAGCGGAAUUUCCAGUGUAGCAGUGAAAUGCGUAGAUAUUGGAAGGAACACCAGUGGCGUAAGCGGCUAUCUGGACGAGUAUUGACGCUGAGGCACGAAAGCGUGGGGAUCAAACAGGAUUAGAAACCCCGGUAGC